UCCGGUCUCGAGUACCCGGGGAGCGACCGCCGGGACAUUCGGAUCCCGGCGGAGAAUAUUCCAUGGCGACGUCGCUGCCGGCGCACGCGCUGGGAGACGUGUUGGAUUGGUGGGAGGAGAUGAACAACUCUACCCUGUGGCAGGAUCGCAUCUUCCACGCCCUCGCCGCCCUCUUCGGACUUGUUUCCGCUGUCGCUCUCGUAAUGUUCCUUUCCAAUAUAUGCAAAAAUCGUGAUCCGAUUUAUUUUAUUCCCCUCUGAUGAACGAUCAUUUUCGUCUGCCACGGAAUCGGUUUGUCCAUUAUAGAUGCAUGGUUCAAGAAUUUGGUACCACUGGCUAACGAUUCUUGGGGAUAGGUAUAGGUUAUGAUGGAGCCGAGAAAUUUAGCGAAUUAUAGGAUAGGUAUAGGUAUAUAAUAUGUGGUGGUGGCUGAUGCGGUCUGCACCUGUUUAAGCCGUGGCGUCGGGGUCGUCGCGGCUUGGUUCGGGUCCGGAAGGCGGUGAUCUCGGUGGGGGCGUUCCUCGGGGUCUCCCGGCGGUCGAGCACGGUGGUUCGGGUCGGGAGGUCGGGUCGGUAGUUCGGGUCGGUAGUUCGGGUCGGGAGGAAGCUCCGUCGCAGUGCUUGGAAGAGUCGACCCCGUUUGGCACAUGCACAAAGGUCGGGCCGGGAGCCAGGCCCGACCUCUCCGACGGCCAAGUUAGCGAUGUGGAGGGGGUUUAGGAGGAGGAAAAGCCUCUGUGUGUUGAGUGUGUCCCCCCCCCUCCUUCCUCUUAGCAUGCGAGGGUAUUUAUAGGGGAGGUUUGAUGUUACCUGACGUAGCUGUCUGCAGGGCAGGACUGUACCUUUGGUGGCGUCUGACAUUGCCACUGGGGCUACAUGGGAGGCCGAGCUGCUGCAGGGUAUGGCGAGCCUCGGGCAGUGUGUCACUCAGGGGGAUGCUGUCAUGGCGUGUCACAUCACCAUUUUUGCCCCUAUCAGUGGCCAUGAUGAUGAUUUCAUAUGUUACUUUUGUUGUGAUUCUUUGGUUCAGGUAUUAAUAUAAAAUUUGAACAACCAAUGCAAAUCAGUAAUGUUGUGGGAAACAACCUUAAGCCGUGGCCUCGGGGCCGACGUGGCUCGGUUCGGGUUCGGAUGACGGGGGAUCUUCCCGGGACGGCCUUCGAGUCCGCUGAGGUGGCCGAUUACGGUGGUUCGAUCGGGACGGGGUCACCGUUUCCUCCGGGCAAGAACUCAUCGCCUGUGCGUCCCGUGGGGACCUUCGGCUUCGCACCUGCACAAAGGUCGGGUCAGGGUGCUCGGCCCGACUCCUCCGACGAUCAAGUUAGUGGAUAGCGGCAGGGGAAUUCUUUAGCUGAGUCGUGUCUUCCUCCUCCCUCCCCUCCUGAGAGGGUAUUUAUAGGGAAAGUUACCGUUGUUUGAUGUGCUUGCUGGCAGGGAGCAGGAUCGUACUCCUGGUAGCGUCCGACACCGACGUUGGCGUGGCGUGAGGGAUCGAACCUGAGCAGGACGUUAAUGCACCUCGGCUGGCGUUCUGGUCCGUUUGACCAGGUGCUGUCGGGUCGAUCGAGGCGUGAGGCGUCAUCUGGGGCAGCUGACGUCAGCCCGAGUCUUGUCGCCAUUAUUAUCCUCAUCAUAUUCCCCCCUGGAAAGAAGCUAUGCGUCGGUCGUUGUAACGGGAGUCCGAGGCAUGGCUUUGGCAUUAAGAAACUGUCCCUCUCGGGCGUUUGCCAGGGGUGUGGGGAUCGUGGAGUUUAGUAAGGAAGGUUGCGUGCGUAGCGGUGACCCUAGGUAGUGUGCGGCCGAGGAGCACAACUCAGUCGAGCAGGCCGAGCAGAGGCUGUGGCCUCGAGCAACACGCGACCGAGGAGCACAGCUCAGGCGGGCAGGCCGCGCAGAGGCAGUGGUCUCGGGCAGCAUGGAGCCGAGGAGCACGACGUAGGCGGGCAGGCCGCGCAGGUGUGGUCUCGGGGAGCAUGGAGCCGAGGAGCACGACGCAGGCGGGCUGGCCGCGCAGGUGUGGUCUCGGGGGCCAUGGAGCCGAGGAGCACGACGCAGGCAGGCUGGCCGCGCAGGUGUGGUCUCGGGGAGCAUGGAGCCGAGGAGCACAACGCUGGCCAGUGGCGGGCUGGCCGCGCAGGUGUAGUCUCGGGGGGCAUGGAGCCGAGGAGUACGACGCAGGCGGGCUGGCCGCGCAGGUGUGGUCUCGGGGAGCAUGGAGCCAAGGAGCACGACGCAGGCGGGCUGGUCGCGCAGGUGUGGUCUCGGGGGGCAUGGAGCCGAGGAGCACGACGCAGGCGGGCUGGCCGCGCAGGUGUGGUCUCGGGCAACAUGCGACCGAGGAGCACGACGCACGUGGGCAGGCCGCGCAGGUGUGGUCUCGAGCAACAUGCGACCGAGGAGCACGACGCAGGCGGGCUGGCCGCGCAGGUGUGGUCUCGGGCAACAUGCGGCCGAGGAGCACGACGCAGGUGGGCAGGCCGCGCAGGUGUGGUCUCGGGGGGCAUAGAGUCGAGGAGCACGACACAGGCGGGCUGGCCGCGCAAGUGUGGUCUCGAGCAACAUGCGGCCGAGGAGUACGAUGCAGGCGGGCAGGCCACGCAGGUGUGGUCUCGGGCAACAUGUGAUCGAGGGAUAUGGCUCAGGCGGGCAGACCGCGCAGGCGUGGUCUCGGGCAACAUGCGGCCGAGGAGUAUGGCUCGGACGGCAACAGGCCCGGGUCGUUGAAUAUCCGCCAAUAACGUUCUGAGGUCGUGGCGGGGUGUUCGUCACGAUGAUCUCCAUGCGGGGGGUGUUCCCCCGAGGCUCUAAUCGAGUGCGACCUCUCAGCCGCGGGCUCAUCUGAGCCGCUCGGGUGAUCACUCGACAUUCCGGGCCCUCCCUCUAGCGCCAAAAAUGUUGUGGGAAACAACCUUAAGCCGUGGCCUCGGGGCCGACGCGGCUCGGUUCGGGUCCGGAUGACGGGGGAUCUUCCCGGGACGGCCUUCGAGUCCGCUGAGGUGGCUGAUUACGGUGGUCCGAUCGGGACGGGGUAGCCAUUUCCUCCGGGCAAGAACUCCUCGCUUGCGCGUGGGGACCUUCGGCUUCGCACCUGCACAAAGGUCGGGUCGGGGUGCUCAGUCCGACCCCUCCAACGAUCAAGUUAGUGGAUAGCGGCAGGGGAAUUCUUUAGCUGAGUCGUGUCUUCCUCCCCCCUCCCCUCCUGAGAGGGUAUUUAUAGGGAAGGUUACCGUUGUUUGAUGUGCCUGCUAGCAGGGAGCAGGAUCGUACUCCUGGUAGCGUCCGACACCGACGUUGGCGUGGCGUGAGGGAUCGAGCCUGAGCAGGACGUUAAUGCGCCUCGGCCGGUGUUCUGGUCCGUUUGACCAGGUGCUGUUGGGUCGAUCGAGGCGUGAGGCAUCAUCUGGGGCAACUGACGUCAGCCCGAGUCUUGUCGUCAUUAUUAUCCUCAUCAGGUAACGAGAUGCUUCUUGAAAUCUGGCUGCACGUCGAAUUAUUGUAUGCUAUUAGUUUCACUCUUUGGUUAAUUGAAAUAAUCUAGUCCACAAAUACAAUUGGUUAGAACCGAGUUCAGAGUGCCAGAGUUUGGUUGGACGAUACAGAAGGUCUUUCACUUCUUGAAUCUCCUGGUGAAUGGCGGUGAGGAUCUAGCUUUACUGAUAUUAUGCACUCUGGUACAAUGUGACGAGGAGGUGUUUACAUCUGCUUUUUCUGUCAAACUGUGGUUCUUGUCUUCUGCAGUCAGAUCACUUGUCUUCAUAUUUCGUCGGGGACUACAAAUAAAGCCUGAGGUUUGACUCACUUAUUUUUUGUGCUCUGUAGGUAUUGAGUCGUUCUUAUGGUAGCUUAUCUUACAGAUCAUCCAACAUUUCCUUCUGGAUUUGCCUGGUCUUGCAUUCUUCACUACCUAUGCACUUUUGGUGCUGUUUUGGGCUGAAAUAUAGUACCAGGUUUAUUUUUUAGCUUUUUUGUGUUGUUUUAUUUUGGUCAUGGUUCAUAUGAAUGUUCAGUCAGUUUAUUUUCACUGAAAUGGAAUGUCAUGCAGACACACUUGAUAUCUACUGAUGGCCUUAGACCAUGUUUCUAUACAAUUAAUGCAAUGGUUUAUGCUAUCCAGGUAAUGACAUAGUUAAUUGUAUGUUGGACAAGUAGCAUAAGUAUCAUUCUUGUGUCAAUCCUCUUUUAUCUUAUUACAAGUUGAACUUGCAACAAUUAUUCUUCUCUCAGCUGUUUUUUAAAUUAUUAGCUGGUGUUCAGAAUGUGAAAGAGUGAUUUCUACUGGCUCUUUCAGUUUUUGGAAAACUAAUCUGUAUACGAUGAUUUGCUAAUGAAAUUUUGUUUCCUCAAAAUUAGAUGAGUGCAACAAGCAUGUUGAUGCAGAUGCAGAGUGACGCGGGGUAAGCAAUGAUGAGGUCGACGGUGCGCUCGUCGUGGAGGCGAGUGACGUCGUGAUGAGUGCAAACCUUAUCAUUGUCGGAGACGGCUAAGCAACUAUAUCGACGUAAAUGCCAAUGGCGCCUCCAUCCGUCACCACUGACGUUGUCCACCACCGAACUUUAAAAUUAUUUUUUUUAUUCUUUGUUUUCAUGUUUCCGUCGAUAACUGACAUCAUUAGGGUAAAUGGACUUAGAUGUUUCACUUUCAGAACCAUAAAAAUGCCAAUGUAAUUUUUUAAAAUGUAGAGACCGAAACAUUAAAGACAACUUACUACAUGGGACAAUCUGUAAUUAGCCCUUGCAGUGGUCUUUUACUUAUUGCGAGCAGCUCUAAGGAUUACAGUUGAUAUGGAAUUUUUGAGUAGAUUACUUGCUAGUUUUUUCCAUGCAUAACAAUAUAUAUGGUUUAGGGAUUGGUGCUUAUGAGCUAAGACAGAAUAUGAGCUAGAAAAUGGUCGAUAAGUAACCAACGAGAAAAUAGUGUUUACUUGGAUCCCAGCAUGACCACACAAAUAGAAGUCAAACUCUGUUGGAUGGCAGAUCUUAGAAUCAACAACAGUAUCUAGAAUUCCAGACACCGCACUAGCCUCAUUCUCCCUCCUCUCUCUCUCAUUUUCUUUCUAGUCUCUCUUAAACUCACUUAAUUCUCUCUUAAAUCCCUUCCAAAUUCAUUGAAGAUCAUUAGGGGAGGUUGAUUUCCAUGAGAAGAAGAUUAACUCAAGAUCUAGACCAUUUUCCCUUUACAUCAAGGUGAAUCCGAGCCUUAUUUGUAAGUUAAUAUCAUGCAAUUAGGCAAGGUUCGCCGUACCAUACCGUACCGGCGUUUCGACUCAUGCUCGGUACGGUACGGUACGGGUGUACCGACCGGUACACCGAGGUGUACCGAGCACUGUAGCGUUGCUUGUCGGACCGGUACAGGGCGGUCCGCGUACCGACAACUUGUCGGACCGGUAUGUACCGCCCGUACCGGGCGGUACGACUCGGUACGGCAAACCCUGCAAUUAGGUUUAGGUUUAUGUUUAUUCUUGCAUGCCUAGGCUAAAUUUCAAAGAUUAGAUCUAAUUUAGAGCUUGAUGUAAUAUCUAAAUUUUGGUUGAUUUAAGUUAAAUGAUCUAACUUUGUAGUUUGAUUGUACAUGCCAAGAAGAAUCCCAAAAUAGGAUUAGAAACUUUUCUUUUUCAGACUUCUGAAAGUAAGUAUACACCAGCACUGAUACAAGGUAUAGUACUAGCCAGACCCAUACCAGUUCGGGUCCUGAAAUUAACAACACUGGAUAGCAAAACUUUCAUGUUAGCGUUCACUUUUAGUUACCCUCAUCAUUCAUCAUUUUUUGUGCAUUAAUAUGAACAUAUAUCUUAUGCAAAUUUUAGCACCAUAUGGUAAUUCUUUCUCAAUUUAUUACAUAUUAUUUGUAAAACGUCAUAGGAAGUCGUCGUACUACCUGUAACGAAAGUGCUAUGUAAUUGUAACAAGGUUUUGUGAAUCCCAUCUUUUAGUAUGCAUAAUUAAUUUUCUUUUCAAGAUUCACUUUUUGAAUUAAAAAUGGAAAUUUUAUCAGGCUUUUGUCCCUUUUUUGCCCCCAAGUAAAAUUUUUUUUCUAACUUUUGAACUUGUUCUCAUGGAAGAUGAUAAAGUUCUUGGUACAUGGAUCUAAGAGGCUAGAAUGAAUUCUUUGUAGUCAUAUCUUAUUUUACAUUUCUACACUUUGCACUUUGGUUGCUCUUUUGAUGGAAGCCCAUCCAAGCGAUAGUUAUCCUAUCCAAGAUCUUCUUUGCAGGUUUUAUUACCGAAUAUAUGGAUUUUAUUUUGUUGUUUAUGAAUUAGAUGAAAUGAACUAUAUAUUUAUAUAUUUUUACAGGUGUUUCUUUGUUUGCUGCCAUUGGAUUUCUUUUAUAUGGAGUGAGGUGUGCCACUGAUGUGUGUUUAUGUACAUAUCUCUUUCCACUUAGUUUGAACCUGCACCUGUUAUUCUUUGUAUAUCAUUUUUCCUGAGUAGGAUUUUAACUCUCAUGUCUUCACUAAUGUUCAAAAUGCAGGCUGUAUGUGAAUAGAAGCUAUAUCCAGUCAAAAUUAUAAUAUUCUAAAAGACUUGUUAUCAUGAACCAUUUUAUGUACUUUUAUUUUUCUGAAUUUGUUUAAUUACAUCCUUGGAAACCAUAAAAUGCACAUUCUGUCAGCAAUGCUAUAUUCUUCGUACACUGGAAUUUUGGUUGGAUUACCAUUUUAAAUAUGUGAUAGUUUUUUUAACUUGUGUUCUUUCUGAAAUUUUAUUUUUGAUCAAUUGUCUUUAUGAAAAUUAAACAUUAUCAACUUGUGUUUCUGAACUUAUUAGGAACUGUAUACCAAUUCUUGAUGAAAAUCUGUGGCUUAUGCUUUUGAAAAGAUUGUUAACUCUAGUUAAUUGAGCUCAAAUAUUUUAGCUCAUUUAGUAUUCAAGAAGCAUGUGAGGCAGCAGACUUUGGCAUUUCAAAAAUCUAUCUUUCAUCUAACUCCAUGUUCAUGCCUGAGUUAUACAUUUGAGAACUUCAAAGCAUGUCAUAUAUGUGAAGCUUGAAGUAAAUAUUUAAACUAACAUCUAAUACUGAACACAGAAGGCUGAAAAUCCAUAUGCCCCUGAUAAUUCAAACUUAUCCACUAGUCUGUCAGUAAGGAUUUUUUUUUUUUUUUGCUUUUAAAUAUUCAGUAUAGCUAUUGAAAUACCAAGUCAAAUGAACAUUAACGGAUGGGGAUAACCAAGCUAGUGUGUAUGAUGAGGCUGAUAACUAAUACAUGUUUCUUGAGGCACAUACUAAUAUGUUAUGGGACUUAAUUGAGUAAUAUUUUGUCCUUUUUAGGCUCUUCUUCAUGCUGUAAUGCUUCCCUGUUGAAUCAAAAGGGCGAUGGAAAAAGUUAUAAGAGGUUGGCUAUGUUACCAUUGUCUGUUUCUUAUGUUUCAUGUCACGAUGUAUUAUGGUGUGGUUCAAUGCCUUUGAUAAGGCUGCAAAUAUUGAUGUUCUAAACCAUCCAAUUCUGAACUUCAUAUUCUACUUAGUAUGGCUCAAAUUUAUUUGGUCUUGAACAUGGUCAAUGCAGUGAGUUCAUUGCUUGCUGAAAUUCUUCCUCCAUCCCUAGUCCUUUUCAUUCUAAGAAAACUGCCACUUAAGUGGAAGAUCACUCAAUACCACCCACUCCACUGAUCCAGGAAUUAUGUGCCUUUAUCCAUUUCGAGUUCCCCGUAAGAAACAUAGAUUGUUUUGCAAAGUUAAUGUUCCAUCAUUCUAAUCUGCAACAAGGGGACCAGAAAAGCUGCAACUAUCAGGGUUUGUCAUGGGCUUGCAAUUUGUUCCUGGGAGGCUGUUGAUCAUUGGGAAUAUUAUCAAGGUCUGCAUAGAAUCUCAACUCUGUAGCAAUGAUCCAUUAAGUUUCAUUUCAUUUUGCAUACACAAUCUCGAACUCUGCUAAUAGUCUGUGGUUACUAUAGUCUACUUCUACUCGUGAACUCAACUAUCUCAGAACACUUAUCCAAGAUCCCUUAAUUAUCUCAGUAUUACUUUGCUUCAGUAUUGUUUUUUGUCGCAGAUGAUCAAAGCAAUACACCUGCAGAUAAUUCAUUGAGUUACCUUUGGUAAGUUUGCUAUUUAGCUUCUCUUCUAAGUCAAACUGCUUAUUUUGCAUGAAUGUGAAAGCAUGUAAUAUGUUUCGCUUAUGAAUUACAGAAAUCCAGUAAUUUGAUAUUUAUCUGACAAUGUUGUUAGUGUCUCUUGAAUUUUUAUCCACUCUGUAUACUCAGCCUAACAAUCAGGUACUCAUUGUGUGCAUAAAAUUCUUCUUUUCAGAUUUUAGUUUGAAAUCCCCAUGUGUGUCAACUAUGUUGUCAUGCUACUGCAAAUAUAAAAUGGGUGUGUUUGUCAGUAAUUAUCUCUGCAAUUUCUUUGAUUGUUCUGUUUUACAAUAUCAAAAUCAUGAUUUUAAAUUUCCAUAAUGGCUCUGUAUGGCAGUGAGUGAGACGCAUGAUGUCAAACCGGAUUGGACACUGUGAUCAAACCGAUUUAUAUCGUCUGUUGGAACAAAGUGCAGGAUUCAUCUGGAGAGCUGUUCGACCAGAACUUGGGCAAAUCAAAUGUGCUCGAGGUAUGGCAUUUACAUCCCUCUACUCUAAGUUGAAUGUUUUGUCAUGUAUCUCGUUUCAACUUCGACUCAACGUUGUCUGCUUUGCCCCUUUGGCGCUCUACAGUUGAGUUUUUGCCAUUUCUGUGGUCCAUUUGACCUUGAUUUAGAUGAUAAAUUAAUAUAUCAAUUCUUAUAGGUUAGUUUAUUCAGAAAUCCUUUUCUAAUCAGAAUUAAAUAUGAUAUUGGAAGAGUCUUGUUUCUUUUCA